UACGUAGGGUGCAAGCGUUAAUCGGAAUUACUGGGCGUAAAGCGUGCGCAGGCGGUUUGCUAAGACCGAUGUGAAAUCCCCCGGGCUUAACCUGGGAACUGCAUUGGUGACUGGCAAGCUAGAGUGUGGCGAGAGGGGGGUAGAAUUCCACGUGUAGCAGUGAAAUGCGUGAGAGAUGGUGGAGGAAUACCCGAUGGCGAAGGCAGCCCCCUGGGGCCCAA
rnacentral:rRNA from 1 species